GAAAUGCGAUAAGUAAUGUGAAUUGCAGAAUUCAGUGAAUCAUCGAAUCUUUGAACGCACAUUGCGCCCCGUGGUAUUCCGCGGGGCAUGCCUGUUCGAGCGUCAUUUCACCACUCAAGCCUAGCUUGGUAUUGGGCGCCGCGGCGAUCUCCAUCGCUGCGCGCCUUAAAGUCUCCGGCUGAGCAGUCUGUCUCCGAGCGUUGUGACACAUGUCGCUAGGGAGUGCAGGUCUGCCGCGGCCGUUAAAUCUUUAUUCAAGGUUGACCUCGGAUCAGGUAGGGAUACCCGCUGAACUUAA
rnacentral:misc_RNA from 1 species